ensembl:lncRNA
GCCUGAAAUGUGGCAAAAGGUCGCAAAGUUCAAGGGGGCCGAAUACUUUCGCAAGGCACUGUAGAUUUCACAGGUUAAAAUAAUGAUGAAAACAAGCUAUAUACAUCGUCUCUCUUUUUGGUUUGAACUGGUUCAGAACUUUAUUUUUCUGCUCAGAACACUGGAAUUGAAAAAAAAUAGUGGUUCUGUUUGGAACAGAAUGAUUGUAAAAUCAUUUCCAUUCCAACCUUUGCUUACAAUGCAGUACUAUGCCUGUAUUUGAAUGCACUUACUGUAAAUCGCACUGGAUAUGAGUUUCUGCUAUAUGACUAAGAUAUAAACGUAAACACAACAGUCAAUGCAGAAUUAUAACUCGGUGAUCAGAAAGGAUCACUAAAUCCUGUUGUGUACAUUAGUGCACACAAGCGCGGGUGUACCACUCCCAAGAUUAGAUACUGGAACAUUCUUGGAUUACACAUCACUUAAAGAAGGCUUUAUGAUAAACCCAGCUUAAUGUGGUCUACUGAUUACAGAAAUAAGUCAUAACCAGCCAUAUGAACUUGCAGCAUGUCAGUAAAAACCGAAAGGUUAAGCCCUGUCACUGUAUAGAGUGGACUACACACUUUGAAAAAAAAGGGUUAUUUGGGGUUUCAUAUAGAACCUCUUGAUUCUUUGGACGAGAUUAAAGAAGGUUCUAUAUAUAAACCCAUUGAAGGCAGAGAACCUUGAGGAUUCCAUCCCUACCGCAGAUUGUAGGCGAACGUAGAGUUUAGCCAACAGCAGCGAACAAAAACGAACAGUCAUGUCAAACGCUGAAAUAACAGCUAACGAUACAGUAGCUGCUUUUAUGUUUGUUUUAGCUGCUUUGCAUUGCAAUGUAUGUCCGUAUUAAUGAUUCUGCAUGAAAUCUCCUGGUCAGAAAAAUGGCUAGCUGUCUCCUCCGACACGUUCCCGCUCUCAUUUGUAUUUUGCAACAUUGUUGUCGAGGUUGGAGUUGCAAACAACAAGGUUCAUACAAACCUGUGCUGUUGUGAACCAAAUGCUGGGAAAAAGCAAGAGAUAAUAAUGUGUUUAAUGGAAGCAUACACUCUAAGAAUUGGUUAAUUGGGGUUCUCUAUAGAACCUUUUGGUCAAAUCAAAUGAAUGGCCCACCAACUGCCAUUCCAACAUGAAAACUCAAGAGGAGGAUGGUUUCAAAUACCCUACCAAUUAGCACGUUAUUUUUCAAUUUAUUAAGGUAAGCAUUAUGUAAUUCAAGUACAUUAAGCCAUAUUCAUGUGACAAACUAUAGGCUAGUUCCCUCAAACUCAACUCUGGACCCCAAAGCUAGUUCCACUGCAUUUGUUCAUUGUUCCCUUCAAAUCAGGGAAUGAUUUAGACCUGGAACACCAGGUGUGUGCAAUUAUCAGGUAGAAUAGAAAACCAGCAGGCUCAGGACCUCGUAGGGUAAGAGUUGAGUUCCACUGGGCUAGAUAGCUAUGAGUUUGUUUCAGAGUUUGACCACUGUUUGUAAGCUACCUAGCUAACGCUAGGUUGCUAGAAAGGGAAAAGCUUUUUUUAUUUAACUAGGCAAGUCAGUUAAGAACAAAUUCUUAUUUACAAUGACGGUCUACCACAGCCAAACCCGGACAACACUGGACCAAUUGUGCGCCGCCCUAUGGAACUCCCAAUCAUGACCGGUUGUGAUACAGCCUGGAAUUUAACCAGGGUCUGUAGUGACGCCUCUAGCAUGAAGAUGCAGUGCCUUAGACCGCUGCACCACUCGGAAGCCCAAGGUUAGGUAGGCUAAGGUUACUUUUAAUAAGCAUCUUGGCAAGCUAGCUAAGUCUUACAAAUAAACCUAUAUGCCAAAUAGAGAUAAAUACCCAACCUGACAUUGGCAAUUAGCUAAUUGUUACUUUUAUUUCAGUAUUUUAGUUUGUAGUCACAAUCAAAUGUAUUUAUAAAGCCCUUUUUACAUCAGCCGAUGUCACAAAGUGCUGUACAGAAACCUAGCCUAAAACCCCAAACAGCAAGCAAUGCAGAUGUAGAAGCACGGUGGCUCUGAAAAACUCCCUAGAAUGGUAGGAUCCAAGGAAGAAACCUAGAGAGGAACCAGGCUCUGAGGGGUGGCCAUCGAACCAACUUGACACGAUUGUGGGAAGAAUCUGGAGUCAUCAUGGACCAGCAUCCCUGUGGAACAUUUGACCACUUGUAGAGCCCAUUCACCCAAACACUGAGGCUGUUCUGAGGGCAAAAGGGGAGGGGGGAGUGCAACUCAAUAUUAGUAAGGUAUUCCUACUGUUUGGUUUAGCAUAUGUUUUACUCAUUGUAAGUAAGAAUUGGUUCUUGACUAACUUGUCUAGUGAAAUAAAGGUUAAAUAAAUAAAACAUAAAAUACUCCAGCAGCAACCCGCUGAGGAGCUGCAGGAGAAAUCCAUCUCAAAAUCGUCUCUGUAUGCUGUGCACGUGUGAUAGCUGUGUUGGAUACCUAAGAUACAUGAUGACUUGUGAAAAUACACACAGGACAAUUUAAUUCCCCUAAAUGAUGUACAUUAACCCAUGAGAGGACUAUGUUUCAUGGAGGCAGACUGGACUGAAUGUUGCUGACCUCUGUUGAAUGCGCGUGACGGGCAGUGGACUAAGAGGAGAGUCUGGCAGGAUCCCAACUAUCAGAGGCAGAGGAUGUGAUCUUUCGGGCUGCUGCUGCUGAUGACAACAGCAAGCAGCCAGGCAACAACCCAUACUGUACUGUUCCAUAGAGAAGUCAGCCAGAGUUGGGAUCAAGAUUGACGUGGGCCAUCAUUCAAAGAAAGAGAUGCCUGCCUGGCAAACCAGUGCAUAUUUCCAAACUAUGUAUGUUUGCAUUAACUGAUUAAUUUUUGUUUGGGUAUGAAUGUAAUGAUAAUAAAAUCUCAAAAUGA